AGAGUUUGAUCAUGGCUCAGAUUGAACGCUGGCGGCAGGCCUAACACAUGCAAGUCGAGCGGUAGCACAGAGAGCUUGCUCUCGGGUGACGAGCGGCGGACGGGUGAGUAAUGUCUGGGAAACUGCCUGAUGGAGGGGGAUAACUACUGGAAACGGUAGCUAAUACCGCAUAACGUCGCAAGACCAAAGUGGGGGACCUUCGGGCCUCAUGCCAUCAGAUGUGCCCAGAUGGGAUUAGCUAGUAGGUGGGGUAACGGCUCACCUAGGCGACGAUCCCUAGCUGGUCUGAGAGGAUGACCAGCCACACUGGAACUGAGACACGGUCCAGACUCCUACGGGAGGCAGCAGUGGGGAAUAUUGCACAAUGGGCGCAAGCCUGAUGCAGCCAUGCCGCGUGUGUGAAGAAGGCCUUCGGGUUGUAAAGCACUUUCAGCGGGGAGGAAGGCGUUAAGGUUAAUAACCUCAUCGAUUGACGUUACCCGCAGAAGAAGCACCGGCUAACUCCGUGCCAGCAGCCGCGGUAAUACGGAGGGUGCAAGCGUUAAUCGGAAUUACUGGGCGUAAAGCGCACGCAGGCGGUCUGUCAAGUCGGAUGUGAAAUCCCCGGGCUCAACCUGGGAACUGCAUUCGAAACUGGCAGGCUAGAGUCUUGUAGAGGGGGGGAGAAUUCCAGGUGUAGCGGUGAAAUGCGUAGAGAUCUGGAGGAAUACCGGUGGCGAAGGCGGCCCCCUGGACAAAGACUGACGCUCAGGUGCGAAAGCGUGGGGAGCAAACAGGAUUAGAUACCCUGGUAGUCCACGCCGUAAACGAUGUCGAUUUGGAGGUUGUGCCCUUGAGGCGUGGCUUCCGGAGCUAACGCGUUAAAUCGACCGCCUGGGGAGUACGGCCGCAAGGUUAAAACUCAAAUGAAUUGACGGGGGCCCGCACAAGCGGUGGAGCAUGUGGUUUAAUUCGAUGCAACGCGAAGAACCUUACCUGGUCUUGACAUCCACAGAACUUACCAGAGAUGCAUUGGUGCCUUCGGGAACUGUGAGACAGGUGCUGCAUGGCUGUCGUCAGCUCGUGUUGUGAAAUGUUGGGUUAAGUCCCGCAACGAGCGCAACCCUUAUCCUUUGUUGCCAGCGGUCCGGCCGGGAACUCAAAGGAGACUGCCAGUGAUAAACUGGAGGAAGGUGGGGAUGACGUCAAGUCAUCAUGGCCCUUACGACCAGGGCUACACACGUGCUACAAUGGCAUAUACAAAGAGAAGCGACCUCGCGAGAGCAAGCGGACCUCAUAAAGUAUGUCGUAGUCCGGAUUGGAGUCUGCAACUCGACUCCAUGAAGUCGGAAUCGCUAGUAAUCGUAGAUCAGAAUGCUACGGUGAAUACGUUCCCGGGCCUUGUACACACCGCCCGUCACACCAUGGGAGUGGGUUGCAAAAGAAGUAGGUAGCUUAACCUUCGGGAGGGCGCUUACCACUUUGUGAUUCAUGACUGGGGUGAAGUCGUAACAAGGUAACCGUAGGGGAACCUGCGGUUGGAUCACCU
rnacentral:rRNA from 1 species